GAACACUCUUCUGAAUGAACCUGGCAGUCCAUCUUUACAACCCAAGACCGCCAACUUCACGAUCACUUCAAACCAGAUUGAUGGCAAGAUGGAAUACAGCUUCCAGGAUGGAGAUGUCAUACAACCAGUCAGCUUCCUCAAUGAGCUACGUCAACCAACCACUACAACAGUGUUUCCAGAAACAACAGCCAGUGUUUCUGUUACUACUCCCAACCUCAUAUCUGGUUCAGCAGUGGUCACAAGCAAGCUGGUGUUCAACUCCUCAUCUC